CUGAUAUCUGGAAACAGA
rnacentral:snRNA from 1 species